rnacentral:rRNA from 1 species
AUGGGGAUGAUUUGUUGCCAUGCACUAAAGGUGAUGAUAGUGUUGGGAUUGAAUGAGAUACCACGGAAGCACAUACUGAAAAGAUGGACAGUAGAUGCGCGUGAUAUCCUUCCAGAUCAUCUGAAGCACUAUCAAAAAGAUGUAGGCCUACCUGAUUGCACCACUUUCAGGCACAAUGCUAUGUACAUCUCGGCCCUGGAAUUGGUUAUGAUGGGUGAUAGCAAUCCAGAGGCUUUUGAUUAUGUCAUGAGCGGGCUGGCAGAAUUGAAGAAGGGAGCUUUGCCACUAAGUAAUCUAAAAGAUGGAAUGAGUCUAAUUGAUAAAAAGAAGGCAUGCAAGUCUUCUUCUAUUGGUAAAUCUGGUGGUUGGAAGGGUAGUCAGAAGCAAUAUAUUGAUGAUGAAGCUGCGUCAAGUGCUGGGAAAAUUGAAUGGAGAAAUGCAAAAGCAAGAACGAUAGGAGGGGAUGGGAAAUCAUCAGUCGAUGCUAAUGGGACCAUUCAAGCGAAUUCGGCAUCGUCAACUGUACAGGGGGAUGACCGAAGCACGGCUGAUUCAAAUAUUGUUGUAACUUCAAGAUCCAUGGAUACAGAAAGUGACAUGUCCCUGUUACCCCCUAAGAAGAAACCUAGGAUGAGAGGUCAUCCGACAACUGCAAGAGACAAGCCGAAUUACGAAAUAAAUGACAGGCGAUCGAGGUUUUGCACAAUUUGCCGUGGGAAGGGGCACAAGAGAACUACAUGCCCUCAAAUGGGCAACGAACCGCAGAAGCCGAGGAAGAUUCCGACAUGUACAAAUUGUGGCAUAGCCGGUCAUCGUAGGAAUACUUGUUCAAAAGUUUUGUACUCUACAUUCGAUGGGGUACCCUCUGUAGGAUGUAUCUGA